GCCUAACAUGUUCUAUUUAAGACGAGCAGAUAAAUCUGCUGGAUUGUUAGUUUAUUAUAGCUCCAAUAAUCUUUGUUUGUAUGAUAUUUUUUUGGUAGUUACUUUAAUACUUUUGGCAAUUGUAUGGUAUUCGUGUUAAUCACACCAGCUGAAUGUUUACAUGGUUUGACAGAUUGCCUGAGUUCCCCUGCAAGCAGCUCCUUUACCAGCUCCAGUGGGGAUAUUGAAGGGGACUCUGAUGACACCGUAAUAUUGCAGUGCAGUCCUGCCACAAGACAGAGAGCUGAAAACACCUCUCUUGCCAAAAUGAUUGAAGAUGUUCUAAAGAACAAACCUGGCGGAGAGAGGAUCAUCAAUGAGUAUGCUCAGACAAAAAGUCUUAACAGAUGGCAGGCGGAGCGACAUGGUCAAGAUAUUGGUUGCACAAAUAAGUGAACAUGGGACAAGUCCUUCAAGGCGUGUCAAAGAGGACCACGCAAAGGGGAUCAUCAACUUGUUCCCAUACCUGGCUGAUCCAAGGAGCAAGUUUGGUUAUAAGAUGGGAGUGGGUAUCUGGCUUG